rnacentral:rRNA from 1 species
GAUGAACGCUGGCGGCGUGCCUAAUACAUGCAAGUCGAGCGAACAGACGAGGAGCUUGCUCCUCUGACGUUAGCGGCGGACGGGUGAGUAACACGUGGAUAACCUACCUAUAAGACUGGGAUAACUUCGGGAAACCGGAGCUAAUACCGGAUAACAUGUUGAACCGCAUGGUUCAACAGUGAAAGACGGUUUUGCUGUCACUUAUAGAUGGAUCCGCGCCGCAUUAGCUAGUUGGUAAGGUAACGGCUUACCAAGGCAACGAUGCGUAGCCGACCUGAGAGGGUGAUCGGCCACACUGGAACUGAGACACGGUCCAGACUCCUACGGGAGGCAGCAGUAGGGAAUCUUCCGCAAUGGGCGAAAGCCUGACGGAGCAACGCCGCGUGAGUGAAGAAGGUCUUCGGAUCGUAAAACUCUGUUAUUAGGGAAGAACAAAUGUGUAAGUAACUAUGCACGUCUUGACGGUACCUAAUCAGAAAGCCACGGCUAACUACGUG